AACGAACGCUGGCGGCAUGCCUAACACAUGCAAGUCGAACGAUCCCUUCGGGGAUAGUGGCGCACGGGUGCGUAACGCGUUGGAACCUGCCCUUAGGUUCGGAAUAACUCAGAGAAAUUUGAGCUAAUACCGGAUAAUGUCUUCGGACCAAAGAUUUAUCGCCUUUGGAUGGGCCCGCGUUGGAUUAGCUAGUUGGUGGGGUAAAGGCCUACCACGGCGACGAUCCAUAGCUGGUCUGAGAGGAUGAGCAGCCACACUGGGACUGAGACACGGCCCAGACUCCUACGGGAGGCAGCAGUGGGGAAUAUUGGACAAUGGGCGAAAGGCUGAUCCAGCAAUGACGCGUGAGUGAUGAAGGCCUGAGGGUUGUAAAGCUCUUUUACCCGGGAUGAUAAUGACAGUACCGGGAGAAUAAGCCCCGGCUAACUCCGUG
rnacentral:rRNA from 1 species